rnacentral:tRNA from 1 species
GGAGAGGUGGCCGAGCGGUUUAAGGUGCACGCUUGGAAAGCGUGUGUGCUGUUAAAGGUACCCAGGGUUCGAAUCCCUGUCUCUCCGCCA